CUUUGGGAAAAGAGAUAAGCUUUAUUCUGUGAGAUGGAUCUGCAGGGAGAACAGGGGGCAUGUGCCCUCAGAUCUGUCUCCCUGAUUCAGGGUUUGGGGCAAAAUAUAAGAGGUUGGGGAGAACAGGCUGGCACGCAGAAAUGUUGGUGGGACAGGUUUUGAUUGGUGGACUUCAAGCAUUUGUGGUAAGGUUCUAAACAGUUAUGACAGGGUUCUAAACAUUUUUGAUGAGGUGGGGAAAGAAUUCUAACACCAGAUCUUCCUGAAUGAGGGGCUCCCUCGCUUCUGAUAAGAGUUCAACCUUCAAGUUCGGGUCGUGUCCUGGUCCUUGGGUUCCAUGGGAAGGAGGAUCUUUGGUUCCACGGUCAUUUCAGAAGUACUGGUGUGUGAGGGAGCAGAGAAACAGAAACGGCCCUUGUGCUUCCCACAGCUGCUUUGAGAAGCGCUGCUCCAGCCCAAGCUCCCAGCCCUUCACUUGGCCUGAUGGCCUGUGCCCCUCCCAGUCUCGCCUUGCUCCCCAUCUCUCCUUUCCACGGCAUGCCUGCUCCCACCUGCUCCCUGCCUUGAACCUUCAGAUGAGUGCUUCCUCCUGCCAGCGUCUCUUCCAUCCUCUCUCCACUCAGCCCUCUGCUCUCCGGCCCUCUGGGGCGGCUCAAAUGUGACUUCCUCACCGGGCCUUCCCCACACACCACAGCCUCACUGAGGGUGCUCCUUGUGUUCCUGAACACCUGCCAUUCCUCUUUCCUCCCAGCACCUGAUCCCAGUUGAGAGUUUACAGUUUAAUGCUAGACCUCCCUUAUCCCCCCAGCUCUAGUCUCCACGAAGGCAGGUAUCACGCUGCCCUAUCCAUCACCAUCUCCCUGGUUUCCAGUAAGAUGCCUAGCACACAGGGCAAGAUCACUUCACAGGCACGUAACGUGUGGCCGUGUCUCUCUGGUGAUGUGAGCAGCCGUGGCGAUCGUGGACUGGAUCCACUAAAUCAUUAGGAGCAUGCAGAGUGCGGAUGUUCCACCACUCACUCCGCGUUUACUAGCUGGAAUCCUCCUAGACAAAGAAACUCCUCAUGUUUAACUAUCUGAUUAUGCAAAGGAACAGUUCAUACAGGAAAGGCAGGACAUAUGCUUGAUUUCCUCCUUUUUGUUAACCAGUUUUAAAAAUAAAGGAGUGGGCUCUCCAGAAUCUGCCAAAGCGAU
rnacentral:lncRNA from 1 species